CCUACGGGUGGCAGCAGUGAGGAAUAUUGGUCAAUGGCCGUAAGGCUGAACCAGCCAAGUAGCGUGAGGGAAGACUGCCCUAUGGGUUGUAAACCUCUUUUAUGCGGGGAUAAAGGUGUCCACGUGUGGAUGUUUGCAGGUACCGCAUGAAUAAGGACCGGCUAAUUCCGUGCCAGCAGCCGCGGUAAUACGGAGGAUGCGAGCGUUAUCCGGAUUUAUUGGGUUUAAAGGGUGCGCAGGCGGAAGAUCAAGUCAGCGGUAAAAUUGAGAGGCUCAACCUCUUCGAGCCGUUGAAACUGGUUUUCUUGAGUGAGCGAGAAGUAUGCGGAAUGCGUGGUGUAGCGGUGAAAUGCAUAGAUAUCACGCAGAACUCCGAUUGCGAAGGCAGCAUACCGGCGCUCAACUGACGCUCAUGCACGAAAGUGUGGGUAUCGAACAGGAUUAGAUACCCCAGUAGUC
rnacentral:rRNA from 1 species